rnacentral:rRNA from 1 species
UGAUGACGAGACGCUAAGGCGUUGAAGUGGUGUAUGUCAGACUUCCAAGAAAAGCUCGCAAUGUCAUAGAUAAAAAAUGCCUGUACCAUAACCGACACAGGUGGGUAGGUAGAGUAUACUAAGGGGCGCGAGAUAACUCUCUCUAAGGAACUCGGCAAAAUGACUCCGUAACUUCGGGAGAAGGAGUGCCUUAUUUAUAAGGUUGCAAUAACAAGAUCCAAGCAACUGUUUAUCAAAAACACAGGUCUCCGCUAAGUCGUAAGACGAUGUAUGGGGGCUGACGCCUGCCCAGUGCCAGAAGGUUAAAGAAGUUGGUUAGUGUAAGCGAAGCUGAUAACUGAAGCCCUGGUGAACGGCGGCCGUAACUAUAACGGUCCUAAGGUAGCGAAAUUCCUUGUCGGGUAAGUUCCGACCCGCACGAAAGGCGUAAUGAUUUGGAUACUGUCUCGGAGAGAGGCUCGGUGAAAUAGACUUGUCUGUGAAGAUGCGGACUACCUGCACCAGGACAGAAAGACCCUAUGAAGCUUUACUGUAACUUGAAAUUGGAAUUGGACUUUGCUUGCGCAGUAUAGGUGGGAAGCGUUGAAGAUACUCUUGCGGGACUAUUGGAGCUAUCAGUGAGAUACCACUCUUGUAAUGUUAGAUUUCUAACUUUGAACCAUAAUCUGGUCAAAGAACAGUUUCAGGCGGGCAGUUUGACUGGGGCGGUCGCCUCCUAAAUGGUAACGGAGGCGUACAAAGGUUUCCUCUGAACGGAUAGAAAUCGUAUCUAGAGUGUAAAGGCAUAAGGAAGCUUGACUGUGAGACCUACAAGUCGAGCAGGGACGAAAGUCGGUCUUAGUGAUCUGACGGUACUGAGUGGAAAGGCCGUCACUCAACGGAUAAAAGUUACUCUAGGGAUAACAGGCUGAUCUCCCCCAAGAGUUCACAUCGACGGGGAGGUUUGGCACCUCGAUGUCGGCUCAUCGCAUCCUGGGGCGGUAGUACGUCCCAAGGGUUGGGCUGUUCGCCCAUGAAAGCGGUACGCGAGCUGGGUUCAGAACGUCGUGAGACAGUUCGGUCCAUAUCCGGUGUAGGCGUUAGAAUAUUGAGAGGAGCCUUCUUUAGUACGAGAGGACCGAGAAGGACACACCGCUGGUGUACCAGUUAUCGUGCCAACGGUAAACGCUGGGUAGCUAUGUGUGGAGAGGAUAACCGCUGAAAGCAUCUAAGUGGGAAGCCCACCUCAAGAUGAGUAUUCUCA